AUGGCGGAGGCCUUAGCUAUCAAAUUUGGCCUAAAUUUAGCACAAAGGGCGGGAUGUAAUCGCCUAAUCAUCAACUCUGACAAUCUGGAGGUGAUUGAGACCAUGCAGGACGGAGGACAGUCGACGGGAGCGGCGGCGGCAAUCUUCGAUGACUGCUAUCACUAUGCUUGUGAUUUUAUUAUGACUAAAUUCGAACAUUGUAAUUGA
rnacentral:rRNA from 1 species